CUGGUCUUGACGUCCCUAUGACCGACGAGUGAUGUCGUCUUUCCUUCGGGACAGAGGAGACAGGUGGUGCAUGGUUGUCGUCAGCUCGUGUCGUGAGAUGUUGGGUUAAGUCCCGCAACGAGCGCAACCCUUAUCUUCAGUAGCCAGCAUUUCGGAUGGGCACUCUAGAGAGACUGCCAGGGAUAACCUGGAGGAAGGUGGGGAUGACGUCAAAUCAUCAUGCCCCUUAUGAUUUGGGCUACACACGUGCUACAAUGGCGUAAACAAAGGGAAGCGACCCUGUGAAGGCAAGCAAAUCCCAAAAAUAACGUCUCAGUUCGGAUUGUAGUCUGCAACUCCACUACAUGAAGCUGGAAUCGCUAGUAAUCGCGAAUCAGAAUGUCGCGGUGAAUACGUUCCC
rnacentral:rRNA from 1 species